UACGUAGGUGGCAAGCGUUAUCCGGAAUUAUUGGGCGUAAAGAGCGCGCAGGUGGUUAAUUAAGUCUGAUGUGAAAGCCCACGGCUUAACCGUGGAGGGUCAUUGGAAACUGGUUGACUUGAGUGCAGAAGAGGGAAGUGGAAUUCCAUGUGUAGCGGUGAAAUGUGUAGAGAUAUGGAGGAACACCAGUGGCGAAGGCGGCUUCCUGGUCUGCAACUGACACUGAGGCGCGAAAGCGUGGGGAGCAAACAGG
rnacentral:rRNA from 1 species